rnacentral:rRNA from 1 species
GAUGAACGCUGGCGGCGUGCCUAAUACAUGCAAGUCGAGCGAACAGACGAGGAGCUUGCUCCUCUGACGUUAGCGGCGGACGGGUGAGUAACACGUGGAUAACCUACCUAUAAGACUGGGAUAACUUCGGGAAACCGGAGCUAAUACCGGAUAAUAUAUUGAACCGCAUGGUUCAAUAGUGAAAGACGGUUUUGCUGUCACUUAUAGAUGGAUCCGCGCCGCAUUAGCUAGUUGGUAAGGUAACGGCUUACCAAGGCGACGAUGCGUAUCCGACCUGAGAGGGUGAUCAGCCACACUGGAACUGAGACACGGUCCAGACUCCUACGGGAGGCAGCAGUAGGGAAUCUUCCGCAAUGGGCGAAAGCCUGACGGAGCAACGCCGCGUGAGUGAUGAAGGUCCUCGGAUCGUAAAACUCUGUUAUUAGGGAAGAACAAAUGUGUAAGUAACUAUGCACGUAUUGACGGUACCUAAUCAGAAAGCCACGGCUAACUACGUG